rnacentral:rRNA from 1 species
CAUAAAUGACCCAAUUCAAUUGAUUACCUGAAUAAGUUACCAUAGGGAUAACAGCAUAAUAUUUUUUUAAAGCUCUUAUUAAAAAAAAAGAUUAUGACCUCGAUGUUGAAUUAAUAAAACUAUAUUAAAGCAAAAWUAUACAAGUAGGUCUGUUCGACC